CUCUGAUGCCCCUAUGUCUACUCUUAUACAUUAAUAAACGGGAUAUAUGUAAGAUCCUAGAGCAACAUUAGUGAUGUCCACUAAACAUAAGCCAAGUGGAGAGCUCAUCUCCCAAAUAUUUGUCAACGUUUCUUCGUAAAGAAGCGAUUGUAAUUCUUGUGACAUUCUAUUUUAUCCUUUUUUUAUUUAGUUUUUUUUUCUUAAAGAACUGUGUCAAUAACUCAUCACACUACUCAUGCUCGUAUAUUCACAUAGCUGUGCGAAGGUGUUUUGAUGCCAUAAGCCAAAUAUAUUUAUUAAAACGGUUUAGUGAUCGGGAACUAGGUACGAUCUCCUUUGUUGUUGUAUUCAACAUUAAACUAUACGUCGUCGUCCUCAAGGAUCCUCACCUUAUCCCUUGAAGACGAUAAGCUCUCUUCUCUCUCCAAUUUAUCCCUUGAAGACGAUAAACUUGAGCUUCGACUCUUUCGGCACCGACGGCGCGUGGCGGCGCGUACGGUGACUGGAGUUUCUUUCUCUUGUUUUGCUGCUAUCCCAUCUGUCUCGUUUCCCUUCGAUAUGUGCGUUGUUCUGGGCUAGGGUUUGGCUCCGGGAAUUACUCCGCUGCAGAGGAGUUUUGAUCCGGUGGUCCCUCAGCUUUCUCUGGAAAAAUGGCGAGAAGGUCGAGCGGUGGGUGGAGGUUGCAGUCUGCUUUUUGGGGUAUGGUUGGAGAUCGAUUUUCUCUUUCAGAUCUCGUCCUGCUUUUUCUGUCCGUGAGGAGGAGCGUCGUGGUGUCCUCUCCUGGGUUUCGACGGUCCGCUGCUCUGGCCCAGGCGGUUCUCGGCUACGGAGGGCGUCUCUCGUCGGUUUUUUGAACCUGAGUGUCCUCCUCCUAGCGUGGUGUGUGCUGGUGGGUUUCUCUACCACGGCGGCGAGUUCGUGAGAUUCAGCACGCAGGCGGGAUGGUGUCUGAGCUCGGUGGCCGGCUCGCGUAGGUCAUAUGGGAGGUUUAAAGAGCGGUCAUCUAUGUCCGCUUGAUUUGCCUUUCACUUUGCUUCCUCACCUUUGGCCCUCCUCUUUGCGGUUUCUGUACCGGUGUGCCCUGUUUACAAAUCCCGUUCUUGUUGAGGCAAGUGACGGCUCUAGCGUCUCCAAUUUCAGUUCGUCGGUUCUCGGCGACGACGGGCGUGUGGUGGUUCUCAGGUCAUUGACCGCCACUUCUUAAUGCUUGGUCUUUGCUCACAUCCCAGCAUCACUUGGGUUUGCUUGAGCUCUUUGUGGUGGUGUGCGAGGCAAUUGUGUGCAGGUUAGGUUCAGUGUGGGAUGUUCGGAGGUUGCAGCUCCUUUUUGCUCGGAGCGGCAUCGUGUACAGGUCGUAUUCGGGCCUAAUAAAAGCUCAGUUUUGGUUGCUGCGGGUGUGGUAGGCCUCUGCUCUUGCUGUCUAUUCUUGUGGGUUUGUGCUAUUAAGCCUCGGCAAACUGUUCUCAGAUGGGCCAUUAUCUUUAAGAGCGGAUCACCGGGGAGGCCAAAAUUACUGGGGUCCCGACUCUCGGUUGAACUUGGCUCAUUCUUUUGCGGCAAGCUGUUGUUGUGGACAUGGUCGAGUUUGUGUUUAGAAUUUUAUUUUCCGUUUAUCUGUUUCUUGUUAACCUCUCUAUUUUCCGUCAAAAACGAAAAAGCUUGUUAAUAAUAUCUUUACAUUUUUACCAAAAAAAAAAAAAUUAAACUAUACAUGUGACAUUUACACAUAAAACCUAUGUGGAAUGAGAUUGGUGUAUAUUGCGUU